CUUGCACCUGAUUGACCCUUUUCGCCAACGAGUGGCGGACGGGUGAGUAACACGUAGGUAACCUGCCCAGAAGCGGGGGACAACAUUUGGAAACAGAUGCUAAUACCGCAUAACAGCGUUGUUCGCAUGAACAACGCUUAAAAGAUGGCUUCUCGCUAUCACUUCUGGAUGGACCUGCGGUGCAUUAGCUUGUUGGUGGGGUAACGGCCUACCAAGGCGAUGAUGCAUAGCCGAGUUGAGAGACUGAUCGGCCACAAUGGGACUGAGACACGGCCCAUACUCCUACGGGAGGCAGCAGUAGGGAAUCUUCCACAAUGGGCGCAAGCCUGAUGGAGCAACACCGCGUGAGUGAAGAAGGGUUUCGGCUCGUAAAGCUCUGUUGUUAAAGAAGAACACGUAUGAGAGUAACUGUUCAUACGUUGACGGUAUUUAACCAGAAAGUCACGGCUAACUACGUGCCAGCAGCCGCGGUAAUACGUAGGUGGCAAGCGUUAUCCGGAUUUAUUGGGCGUAAAGAGAGUGCAGGCGGUUUUCUAAGUCUGAUGUGAAAGCCUUCGGCUUAACCGGAGAAGUGCAUCGGAAACUGGAUAACUUGAGUGCAGAAGAGGGUAGUGGAACUCCAUGUGUAGCGGUGGAAUGCGUAGAUAUAUGGAAGAACACCAGUGGCGAAGGCGGCUACCUGGUCUGCAACUGACGCUGAGACUCGAAAGCAUGGGUAGCGAACAGGAUUAGAUACCCUGGUAGUCCAUGCCGUAAACGAUGAGUGCUAGGUGUUGGAGGGUUUCCGCCCUUCAGUGCCGGAGCUAACGCAUUAAGCACUCCGCCUGGGGAGUACGACCGCAAGGUUGAAACUCAAAGGAAUUGACGGGGGCCCGCACAAGCGGUGGAGCAUGUGGUUUAAUUCGAAGCUACGCGAAGAACCUUACCAGGUCUUGACAUCUUGCGCCAACCCUAGAGAUAGGGCGUUUCCUUCGGGAACGCAAUGACAGGUGGUGCAUGGUCGUCGUCAGCUCGUGUCGUGAGAUGUUGGGUUAAGUCCCGCAACGAGCGCAACCCUUGUUACUAGUUGCCAGCAUUAAGUUGGGCACUCUAGUGAGACUGCCGGUGACAAACCGGAGGAAGGUGGGGACGACGUCAGAUCAUCAUGCCCCUUAUGACCUGGGCUACACACGUGCUACAAUGGACGGUACAACGAGUCGCGAACUCGCGAGGGCAAGCAAAUCUCUUAAAACCGUUCUCAGUUCGGACUGCAGGCUGCAACUCGCCUGCACGAAGUCGGAAUCGCUAGUAAUCGCGGAUCAGCAUGCCGCGGUGAAUACGUUCCCGGGCCUUGUACACACCGCCCGUCACACCAUGAGAGUUUGUAACACCCAAAGUCGGUGGGGUAACCUUUUAGGAGCCA
rnacentral:rRNA from 1 species